rnacentral:lncRNA from 1 species
GAUCUCCAGAGGUUCCUUCUAACUUCACUAACUUCAACCAUUCUGUGAUUCCAUGUAGUAUCUCGUUAUUUAAAAUGUUGACAGGCCCAAGAAAGGUUAAUUAGUUGGAAAGUCAAUGCGUUUCAAAUUAUCAGAUAAACAUGUCUAGUUUUAGCUAGUGGGCAAGAAAGGGAUUUUCUUAACAGCUGUGGUGAUUUUCAUAGUUAGGUUUAUUAACGUUAUCAUGAAUUCUAGGGCUGUAGAAGAGUAGUCUGGUGCUCAAAGAAAGAAAAUCUGUCUGAACAGUUUGUUAUAUCUAUUCUAGUAACUGUCAAAACACAUGAGGCUGUUCAGACAGUUCUCUGAAUGAAUGGUACGAUAGAAUGAAUGAGAUCUAAGACUCCUGUGGAUAAAUAGGUAUGAUUUCCUGGUAUCUCAGACCAAUGUGACAUAGCUUUCCAGUAAAGGAAGAUUAUGUAAACUACAAAUUUCAAGAUACUAAAAAUCUUUAAUCAUGCCUUUUCUCUUAUUCUUCUUCUACUGCAGGCAUAUAAAAUUCUUUUGGUGUUUCCUCAUAUUAUAAUAACAUUCAUCUUCUAAUUGAUAGACAUAACAAUCACUACUCAUUCUUGCCAUACUUCUAAAUGUGUGCACACUGUGCACAAUAAAUUUCCUUCAACUGGUAAUGCUCCCCAUUUGCAUCCUGUUAUGAAUAAUGGGGUACAACAAGUUGAUCAGAGAAAAAAAAACACUAAGAAGAGUGAUUUAUGCUGACGCUGCACACAGUAAUUUUUCUUCUCUAUAUUUUUACCCAAAUAUAAACCAGUCACAGUAUUUGUAUGGGUAUUGUAAUUAUGCAAAUAACAUUAGCAUUUUUCUUGACAGGAAACAUUUUUUUAUAAUGAAAUCUGUAAUUUGAUUGUGCUUAGUAGAAUCUGCCUUGCUACACCUCAUAGGAAUACAGAGAACUUAAUAUAGUAGCUAUGUACAUGUAUAAAUGGUCUAGUCAAAAACUUGUACAAUGCAUCAAAAUGAAUCCAUAUAGCUUGAAACGUCACUAACUAAACUGGCUUUGCAGUCAUUACUGCGGUCUCCCUUGAAGAACAAAUGUUUUCUCACAGAUUCUGAAGAAAAUUGUGUAUAUAUGUGAAUAUGUAUAUGAAUAAUGCCUGGUAAGAAACAUGAAUUUUGAGAUGUACUAGGAAAGUGUUUGCUCAUGCCAAUUCACUGGUGAAUACUCUAAUAAUUUUGAACUACUUAAGUUUAAUAAAAGCUUUAGGAAUUGGGUUUGGGUUGUUUGU